GAUGAACGCUGGCGGCGUGCCUAAUACAUGCAAGUCGAGCGAACAGACGAGGUUCUUUCUCUUCUGCCGUUAGCGACGGACGCGUGAGUACCUCAUGGAUAUCCUACCUAUCUGACUGGGAUAACUUAGGGAAACCGGAGCUGACACCGGACAAUUUCUUUAACCGUAUGGUUCCCUAACCCAAGACGGUUUUGCUGUCUCUUAUAUAUGCAUCCGUGCCGCUUUCGAUAUGUGGUAAGGUAACGGCUUACCAACGCAACGAUGCGUGGCCGACCUGAGAGGGUGGGCGGCCACACUGGAACUGAGACAAGGUCCAGACUCCUACGGGAGGCAGGAGAAGGGAGUCUUCCGCAAGGGGCGGAAGGCGGACGGAGCAACGCCGCGUGAGUUAUAAAGGGAUUCGGAUCGGAAUACUCUGUUAUUAGGGAAGAACAAAUGUGUAAGUAACUAGGCACGUCUUGACGGUACCGAAUCAGAAAGCCACGGCUAACUACGUG
rnacentral:rRNA from 1 species